GGGGCGAUGGCGCAGUUGGGAGCGCGUAGCACUGAAGAUGCUAAGGUCGCUGGUUCGAUCCCGGCUCACCCCA